rnacentral:lncRNA from 1 species
UAUACAAUUUGACAUAAUUUAAUUCUUUUUAAAAUUUUAAAUCACAUACAAUAGCGUGUGUAGUGCAUCUAAUUAAAAUUAAAAAGUACAAGCAGUGAUGCCCUCGCAAUGCUGCCGGUUUCAAAACUGUCUUAAACGUGUAAAAAGCAGGGCUUAUAUACAUGAGAAAAUAUGUGCCAAAGAGUAGAGUUAUAUACAUAUAUUACAUGAGAAAAUUGAGGAUGCUGAUUUGGCAUAAUUAGAGAGUGCCUAUUUACAUUCUUAUAUUACAUGACAAAAAUUAGGAUGGUAGUACGCCAUAGCCAGAGAGUUCUACUACAUUCAUAUAGUACAUGCUAAAAUUAAGGAUGUUAGUAUGUCAUCCUCAAGGAUUGUUCUUCAAAAGUUAUGGUCCUAUAUCAGGGAGACUUUUACAUCUAAAACUUUACAAAGCUCAUAAAGUAAGGUCUGUUUCACUAAAGACACCCAUAUGCGUAACUCCUUACAUUAAUGGUGUAUCAUUUGUCUUGUACGACAACGAUGAACUGAAAGAAAAAAAAUUAAAAAUAGAAUUCAAUCACUUAAGAAGCAUGGUAAUACAAUGAAACAAAAACACUUAAUCAUUGGAAAAAUUAGGUUUUCAUCCCUCAUUUUGCUACUCCAUUGAUUAAAAUCCUAUUCCUUUUCAAUUUUUGAUCAAGGUCUUUGGGUAUUAAUAGCAUCAUUAAUUAUUUCAAUAAUAAAAUAUUUUUUUAUUUCUAAAUAUAUUCAUUUAAUGUUAAAAAUGCUACAAUUAGUAUAUUUAUAUUUAUGACUAAAAAUUUUAUCAUAUAUUUUUAGUUUUAGUUUGUACUCAUUUUUAAUUUGUAAUUCUUUUUUAACUUGUACCAAUUUUCUUUUUAGUUUUAAUUUGUACACAUAUAUUAACUUCUUUUUGUGCCCAUAUUUUUUAAAGUUUAUUUGUAUUUGUACCCAUAUAUUUUUUUUAUUUGUACUUUUUAUUUUGCUAAAUGUACCCAUGCUAAUUAUAUGUACCCAUUCAUGUAAAACUUUUUAUUCUUAAAAUGUACUCAUUCUUAAAUAUACCAAUUUGUUAUAUGUAAAAUGUACCCUUUUUUUCCAUAAAAUCUAUUCAAUUUUUUUCUAAUCCAUUUUUAAACAUAUAUGGGUACAUUCUUUUUUCUUUGAUUUUAACAUGUAUCCAUGUCAAGUUUAAUCGAAGAAAUUUACUAAUGUUAUUAAGCCUAAUAUCUUUUUUUUUUUUGUUGAUUUUUGAAUAAUGUACCCAUGUUUUGAUACAAUAAAUUUUUUGGUUAAUUUUGAUGAAUGUACCCAUGUAUACACACACACACACACA